rnacentral:rRNA from 1 species
GGCGAACGGGUGCGUAACACGUGAGUGACCUGCCCCUGUAUGGGGGAUAACCCGGGGAAACCCGGGCUAAUACCGCAUGCGCUCUUGAGGCUUCCGGGUCUUGGGAGGAAAGGUGCUUUACGGCAUCGUGCAGGGAGGGGCUCGCGGCGUAUCAGCUAGUUGGUGAGGUAACGGCUCACCAAGGCUAUGACGCGUAGGGGGUCUGAGAGGAUGGCCCCCCACAUUGGGACUGAGAUACGGCCCAGACUCCUACGGGAGGCAGCAGUGGGGAAUCUUGCGCAAUGGCCGAAAGGCUGACGCAGCGACGCCGCGUGCGGGAUGACGCUUUUCGGAGUGUAAACCGCUGUCGGGUGGGAAGAAGGUCCCGGGGAGGAAAUGCCCUGGGGAUGACGGUACCACCAAAGGAAGCACCGGCUAACUUCGUGCCAGCAGCCGCGGUAAUACGAAGGGUGCGAGCGUUGUUCGGAAUUAUUGGGCGUAAAGCGCACGUAGGCGGUUGGGUAAGUCUGUCUGUGAAAGCCUGGGGCUCAACCCCAUGGACUGCAGGGGAUACUGCCUGACUGGAGACAAGCAGAGGUUGGUAGAAUUCCGGGUGUAGCGGUGGAAUGCGUAGAGAUCCGGAGGAAUACCAGAGGCGAAGGCGGCCAACUGGGCUUGUUCUGACGCUGAGGUGCGAAAGCGUGGGGAGCGAACAGGAUUAGAUACCCUGGUAGUCCACGCCGUAAACGAUGGGCACUAGAUGCCGGUGGGAACGACCCCUUCGGUGUCGCAGCUAACGCACUAAGUGCCCCGCCUGGGGAGUACGGCCGCAAGGCUGAAACUCAAAGGAAUUGACGG